UGGAAUGAGCUAUAGAAUAUUGGAGUGAAUGAAGGACACAGUGUAUUUCAGUGAGUUAUAUGCGAAGAAUUGAAGAACUGGAGGACUUUUAGGGUAAUUACUGGGAAAAUAUGAACACCAGAACUCUUCUGUGAUUAUGAGACAAAGGUGAGGAAACUAAGGUACAGAAAGGAGGAGUGACUUGCCUGAGAUCAAAUAAACCUGGGGACAGAAUCAUGACUAAAAUAUAUGUUUCCUAACUCCCAUUCCAAUCAGCAGUGAGUGGAAGUUUGCAGUCAGAGGCUCAAUGAAAAAGCAUUUUGUCUUGUUCCCUGCUGGAAAAUAGAUUGAUGACAAGUCCAAGUCAAUGGACAGCCAAGCCCACAGAACGAUGUCACUUGUAUUUUCUGGGCAGAGUGUCUUAUAGCAACACCUACAAAAUGUUACUCAGAGGCAUUUAAAGCUCUCAGCCCUGAUCCAUGCACUGAAAAAGAAGCAGCAGCUCCCUUUGAGAGUAUAAUGGGGUCUUUCAAG